CAUACCUGAAGGGAAAUCGCAAGCAAUCAUAAGUAAAAGAGCAACAAAACCCCAGCAACACGAAAGAAAUGUUACUCAACUCUUUCAGAAGGGCGACGUCUCGUAGAAGAAGAUAAGAAACAACCUUACAGUGGGAGAAUCUUCCAGACAGCACCAGACUUGAGUGAGAGGAGAAAGUAUCUUUGAAUAACUUCAGACGUUUGAUUAUUAUACUGGACUGGAAAUAUUAACUACAGAACUGAAACUUUUUUUUUUUUUUACCAAAAUGGCGUGGGGGUUUCUUGCGGUCUAAGAGUGAGCAAAUAAGCUUUGGGACUAGGUGGAGAUUUUACUCUGGAGUGGAAGAAAUCUAUCCCCAUAGAGCAGAUUUCAACAGGUGUGGGGAAAACAUAUGUGCUUUAUGAUGAUACUGCAUGAGUCCUGGCCUUUCAACACCCUCUAUAAGCUUUUCCUUUGCCUAAGAAAUGUGUGUAUCCAGAGAAAAAGCCCUUCAUCUCUCAUUCUCUCAGAUUUUUCUCUUACUAACCUGUUUGUGUUGAUCUCCUCCAGCUGCCAACUUUCUAGAUUAAACUUUGACUUUUUAUUGUGAAUACCCUUUUUUCAGUUGUUCUGAUCUUUGCUGGUUGGGGUAGCUUCCUGAUUAGCGCAGCUCUUCAGCCACAGAUGGAUGCAAUUGUAGAAGAGAGAUGUUCGUGCUGAGUCAUGGUCUGAGCUAAUUAGCCCCGGACUCUGCAAGUAUAGCAUCCCUCACAGAGUAUUACUGACCCACAUACAUCUAAUCCCAAACACCAUUUAGGAAAAUGAAUCUGGUUAGCAAGAAAAGCUACACAUCAGGCCCAUGAAUGAUUUACACUUCCUCACUUGAUCUCUCCACUUGCCUCGCUUUGCUAUAGAACUAAAGGGAAGGGCUGCCCUUGACACAGUUGCUCAAUUUUCUGUCUUAUUGGAGUUUAUUUUAUUUUCUGACUUAUAAGAAAAAUAAAAGGACUGCUCUGAUCAUGACAUUGUAAGUCAUAUGAAGAAGAUAUCUUUUUCCAAUAGACGAAAUUUGUUCUUUCAGAAAUUUGUAACAUACAGCAUUAAACUGUCAAGAUUCCCUCACCUAACAGUAUAUUUUGUUCAGUUCACCAUUUACAUGUGUAUUGGGAAUGCACAUUCAACAGUAUUGCCAGCCAGGGCGCACACACACACAAAUGAUGGUGUCACUUUGGAAACUGAAGUGUCUAUUAAAUUUGCUGUGGAAUUUUUUACAUUAUAUGCAAGAAGCCAUAAUUGUGGUCCUAGUCUUACAUUAGAAAUAUUGAAUCAGUAUUUAGGGAGCUUCAACGCACAUUGAUACAUUUUUAAAGGGUUCGGAAGGCAUUAUCUACUGUAAAAUGUAAAUGUGGAAAGUUGAUUUCAGUUUCUGCUGGGCAAUAUUCACAUAUUCUCCAAUCUGUGCAGUGGAACUGGAACUCUGAUCCUUUUGUGCAUUGAUGGGGGUCUUUAGUUCCUGAACCUCAUGGUAGACCAUCUACGGAACUACUCUCCUUACUGCUGCAGAAUAAAGAUUUAGAAUGAGUUAAACCAUCUCUUGCCUCUUCUUGAGAGUUGCUCCUUUUGGAUUGUUACCUACUUUGCUCUCUUCCUUUUCUGUUGGAGGAAGAGGAGACAGCAGUAAAAAGGAAAAAGUGAGGGGGCCAAUUAGGGAGAGUGUGGAAGACUUGACUCCCUCCAUUUAAAGCACAGUGCUGUUAGCAAAAGUGAACUACUUCACUGCUCCU
ensembl:lncRNA